CACAAAUUAAUUUCAGAAAUAAAACAGGGAUACCAUUACAGAUUCUGCAGACAUCAAAAGGAUAAUUAAGAAUACUAAUACAAUUCUACAAAUAUUAAUUUGACAACAUACAGAAAAUGGACCCGUUUCACUGAAAAACACAGAUAAUUAAAAUGAUCUUAUAAAUAUUAAGGAAACUGAAUAUGUAAUUUUAUAACACACACAAAAAAAUCUCCGAGCUCAGAUGGUUUUACUUAAGAUUUCUACCAAGUGUUUAAAGAAUGAAUGCUAAUUCCAUAUAAUCUUUUUCGGAAAACAGAAGAAACGCUUUCCAAUUCAUUUUAUGAAGCUAGUAUUACCCUGAUACCAAAACCAGACAAACUAUAUACAAAACCCAAAAAUUUGUUAAAAGGGAAAAAAGAAACUAUGGACUAAUAUCCCUCAUGAAUAUACAGUAAUUCACCCUUUCUCCCAUCCACUGUUCUGCAGUUUCGCUUUCCUGGGUUUGUUACUCACGGUCAGCCACAGCCUGAAAAUAUUAAAUGGAAAAUUCCUGAAAUAAUUUACGAGCUUUAAACUGCAUGCCUUUCUGAGUAGUGUGAUGAAAUCUUGCAUCGUCCUGCUCCAUCCCAGCUGGGAGGUAGAUCCUCCCCUUUGUCCAUCGCAUCCACGCUGUAUACUUCACCUGCCCCUUUGUCACUUAGUAGCCAACAGUUAUCAGAUCUACUGUGGUGGUAUUGCAGUCCUUGUCUUCAAAUAAUGCUUGUUUUACUUCAUAAUGGCCCCAAAGCACAAGAGUAGUGAUAUGGUUUGGCUGUGUCCCCAACCAAAUCUCAUCUUGAAUUGUAACUCCCACAAUUCCCACAUGUCGUGGGAGGAACCUGCUGGGAGGUGAUUGAAGCACAGGGGUGCAUCUUUCCUGCACUGUUCUUGUAAUAGUGAAUGAGUCUCACAAGAUCUGAUGGUUUUCAAAACGGGAGUCUCCCUGUACAAGCUUUCUCUUUGCCAGCUGCCAUCCAUGUAAGACAUGACUUGCUCCUUCUUGCCUUCCACCAUGAUUGCGAGGCCUCCCCAGCCAUGUGGAACUGUAAGUCCAGUACACCUCUUUAUUUGGUAAAUUUCUCAGUCUCAGGUAUGUCUUUAUCAGCAGCGUGAAAAUGGACUAACACGAGUAGUGAUGGUAGCAGUUUGGAUAUGCCCAAGAGAAGCCAUAAAGUGC
rnacentral:lncRNA from 10 species